rnacentral:rRNA from 1 species
UACGGAGGGGGGCUAGCGUUAUUCGGAAUUACUGGGCGUAAAGCGCACGUAGGCGGACUGGAAAGUUGGGGGUGAAAGCCCAGGGCUCAACCCUGGAACUGCCUUCAAAACUCCCAGUCUUGAGGUCGAGAGAGGUGAGUGGAAUUCCGAGUGUAGAGGUGAAAUUCGUAGAUAUUCGGAGGAACACCAGUGGCGAAGGCGGCUCACUGGCUCGAUACUGACGCUGAGGUGCGAAAGCGUGGGGAGCAAACAGG